rnacentral:rRNA from 1 species
UACGGAGGGAGCUAGCGUUGUUCGGAUUUACUGGGCGUAAAGGGCGCGUAGGCGGCCACCGCAAGUCGACUGUGAAAUCUCCGGGCUUAACCCGGAAAGGUCAGCCGAUACUGCGGGGCUAGAGUGCAGAAGGGGCAACUGGAAUUCUCGGUGUAGCGGUGAAAUGCGUAGAUAUCGCUUGGAACGCCGAAGGUGAAAACAGGCUGCUGGGGUUGCGCCGACGCUGAGACACGAAAGCCAGGGGAGCAAACGGG